UACGAAGGGGGCUAGCGUUGUUCGGAAUUACUGGGCGUAAAGCGCACGUAGGCUGAUAGUUAAGUGAGGGGUGAAAUCCCGAGGCUCAACCUCGGAACUGCCUUUCAUACUGGCUGUCUCGAGUCCGGAAGAGGUUAGUGGAAUUCCUAGUGUAGAGGUGAAAUUCGUAGAUAUUAGGAAGAACACCAGUGGCGAAGGCGGCUAACUGGUCCGGUACUGACGCUGAGGUGCGAAAGCGUGGGGAGCAAAC
rnacentral:rRNA from 1 species